rnacentral:rRNA from 1 species
CCUACGGGGGGCAGCAGUGAGGAAUAUUGGUCAAUGGACGAGAGUCUGAACCAGCCAAGCAGCGUGAAGGAUGACUGCCCUCUGGGUUGUAAACUUCUUUUAUAAAGGAAUAAAACGAGGCACGUGUGCCUUUUUGCAUGUACUUUAUGAUUAAGGAUCGGCUAACUCCGUGUCAGCAGCCGCGGUAAUACGGAGGAUCCGAGCGUUAUCCGGAUUUAUUGGGUUUAAAGGGAGCGUAGAUGGGUUUGUAAGUCAGUUGGGAAAGUUUGCGGCUCAACCGUAAGAUUGCAAUUGAUACUGGCAGUCUUGAGUACAGGAGAGGUAGGCGGAAUUCGUGGUGUAGCGGUGAAAUGCGUAGAUAUCACGAAGAACCCCGAUUGCGAAGGCAGCUUACUAAACUGUGACUGACAUUGAGGCUCGUAAGUGUGGGUAGCAAACAGGAUUAGAUACCCGAGUAGUC